CCUACGGGAGGCAGCAGUAAGGAAUAUUGGUCAAUGGACGCAAGUCUGAACCAGCCAUGCCGCGUGGAGGAUGAAGGUCCUCUGGAUUGUAAACUUCUUUUAUUUGGGAAGAAACCCACGAUUUCUAUUGUGGUUGACGGUACCAGAUGAAUAAGCACCGGCUAACUCCGUGCCAGCAGCCGCGGUAAUACGGAGGGUGCAAGCGUUAUCCGGAUUCACUGGGUUUAAAGGGUGCGUAGGCGGGCAGGUAAGUCAGUGGUGAAAUCUCCGAGCUUAACUUGGAAACUGCCGUUGAUACUAUCUGUCUUGAAUGCUGUGGAGGUAAGCGGAAUAUGUCAUGUAGCGGUGAAAUGCUUAGAUAUGACAUAGAACACCUAUUGCGAAGGCAGCUUGCUACACAGAAAUUGACGCUGAGGCACGAAAGCGUGGGGAUCAAACAGGAUUAGAUACCCUGGUAGUCCACGCCCUAAACGAUGGAUACUCGACAUCAGCGAUACACAGUUGGUGUCUGAGCGAAAGCAUUAAGUAUCCCACCUGGGAAGUACGACCGCAAGGUUGAAACUCAAAGGAAUUGACGGCGNGAGACGNGCGAGGACGACACGAGGGGAGGAGG
rnacentral:rRNA from 1 species